AUUGAACGCUGGCGGCAGGCCUAACACAUGCAAGUCGAGCGAGCGGCGGACGGGCGAGUAAUGACUGGGAAACUGCCUGAUGGAGGGGGAUAACUACUGGACACGGUAGCUAAUACCGCAUACAAUAAGAUGUGCACAGAUGGGAUUAGCUUGUAGGUGAGGGAACGGCUAACCUAGGCGACGAUCCCUAGCUGUUCUGAGAGGAUGACCAGCCACACUGGAACGUAGACACGGUCCAGACUCCUACGGGAGGCAGCAGUGGGGAAUAUUGCACAAUGGGCGCAAGCCUGAUGCAGCCAUGCCGCGUGUAUGAAGAAGGCCUUCGGGUUGUAAAGUACUUUUAGCGGGGAUGCGUUACCCGCAGAAGAAGCACCGGCUAACUCCGUGCCAGCCGCCGCGGUAAUUC
rnacentral:rRNA from 1 species